CACCCAUCUACCAGUAAGUAACUUAGGACCUCACUUUCCUCAUCUUUAAAAGUAAGGAUUGUGCAAGUCUUUAACAUGUCAAGAUCAAAGUCAACAGAAAAUACAUUGUUAAAGUGUUAAAAUCAGAAGAAGAAAUGAAGUUGUAAGAAGAGCUGAUGGAAAACAUGGAGCCAGAAAACAGUGACUCACUCAGAAUUGUCAGGAGAAUUGGAAGGAUGAGCAGAAGACAAGAAACUGACAAUUCUAAAACGUAGAGCCACCAUACAAGACUGAAAAUUCAGCAAUUUGGGGGAGACUUCCUAAGAGUGAUGACCAAAUUAUUUCUAUGAAGGAUUUGUCAAGAGAUGAAAAUAUUCUGACCCCAAUACCACAAAGUCAACUUCAGAAAGCCAAAAAGAAUUGCCUUAGAUCUCCAUGACAUCUGCCGGAACCUUUCCUGCCUUCCAGCUAUCCAGCCGUGUGGUGGCUGCAAUCCACACAGUGGAAUUACUGUCCUGCACAGCUCCCCUUCAGAAUAAAGAUCCUCAUGAUAACA